rnacentral:rRNA from 1 species
AGUGAACGCUGGCGGUAGGCCUAACACAUGCAAGUCGAACGGUAACAGGUCUUCGGAUGCUGACGAGUGGCGAACGGGUGAGUAAUACAUCGGAACGUGCCUAGUAGGGGGGGAUAACUACUCGAAAGAGUGGCUAAUACCGCAUGAGAUCUACGGAUGAAAGCAGGGGAUCGCAAGACCUUGUGCUACUAGAGCGGCCGAUGGCAGAUUAGGUAGUUGGUGGGAUAAAGCUUACCAAGCCGACGAUCUGUAGCUGGUCUGAUAGGACGCUCAUGCACACGGGGACUGAGAAACGGCCCAGACUCCUACGGGAGGCAGCAGUGGGGAGUUUUGGACAAUGGGCGAAAGCCUGAUCCAGCAAUGCCGCGUGCAGGAUGAAGGCCUUCGGGUUGUAAACUGCUUUUGUACGGAACGAAAAGCCCCGGGUUAAUACCCUGGGGUCAUGACGGUACCGUAAGAAUAAGCACCGGCUAACUACGUGCCAGCAGCCGCCGUAA